rnacentral:lncRNA from 1 species
GGGCAGAGAGAGAGAUCGCGGCGCCGGAGAGAGAGAUCGACCAACGUUUGUGACGGUACAGGAGUAGAGGCCGACGGGGGAUGUCAGCUCGGAGGCUGCGAUGGCUCUGACAAUGACGACGGUUGAACGACUAGGGUUCCGAUCAAGUUCCGGCAUCUUUCCGGUAACAUCCGGUGAGGCUCCAGCGAGGAUUCCAGGGAACGAACUUGAAGAUGCAUGUUUCUUUUUCGAGUAGACCAACAAACCCCGAGGUUAACACUGUCGAAUGUCUGUUGCAAACAGGUGACAGAGGAUGGACGAUAAAGAAAUAUAAACUCUUAGGCUAGAAGGAGCUAUACCACCAAUAGAAGUACAAGUUCUACGCAGUUGGAUUCCCGCCUUUAGAGACGUCAAAACAUGCUACACACUGGUCAACUGACAGGCGUACGCAUCAUCUGGUGCCAAAUGCAGUGCACCGUUGCAGCUUCCAAAGAUAUCGUCUUUUCACAAAUUUGCUAGACGGGAGCAAUACGCACAAAUGGACGAAUCCGAGUUCCGGAAGAAGUGGGCUGGCGGCGUUACAGGGCGGC